CCGGCGACCGGCGCACGGGUGAGUAACACGUAUGCAACCUGCCCGUGGCAGGGGGAUAAGCGGGGGAAACCCCGUCUAAUACCGCGUAACGCGGCCUAGGGACAUCCCAAGGCCGCCAAAGGGAGCAAUCCCGGCCACGGAUGGGCAUGCGGCGCAUUAGCUAGUCGGCGGGGUAACGGCCCACCGAGGCGACGAUGCGUAGGGGUUCUGAGAGGAAGGCCCCCACACUGGUACUGAGACACGGACCAGACUCCUACGGAAGGCAGCAG
rnacentral:rRNA from 1 species